AGCAUGCUCCUUAGAUCCACCUAACGGGACUUAAUUGUCCACCAACUUUACCGGUUGGCCAUCGUUGGUGAAUGAGUCAUUAGCAUGCUAGACAAGUGUACCUCCUCCUGCCAGCAAGUCUCACCAAUCACACUUGGCCAUCAUGGCUAGGAUAGAGAUAAUUGCCUCGGCCUGCAGUUACUCUUGUUGUGACUAUAUUGGUGUAACAGCUGGUGUUGGGGACAAG